rnacentral:rRNA from 1 species
CAAUAGCGUAUAUUAAAGUUGUUGCAGUUAAAAAGCUCGUAGUUGGAUUUCUGGUGGGAGCGAUCGGUCUGGCGCUUAGCGCGAGUACUUGCAUCGUCUCCGGCCAUCCUUGGGGAGAGUCUGUCUGGCAUUAAGUUGUCGGGCAGAGGAUCCUCAUCGUUUCCUGUGAAAAAAUUAGAGUGUUCAAAGCAGGCUUAUGCCGUUGAAUAUAUUAGCAUGGAAUAAUAAGAUAGGACUUUGGUACUAUUUUGUUGGUUUGCGCACCAAAGUAAUGAUUAAUAGGGACAGUUGGGGGUAUUCGUAUUCCGUUGUCAGAGGUGAAAUUCUUGGAUUUACGGAAGACGAACUACUGCGAAAGCAUUUACCAAGGAUGUUUUCAUUAA